UGGAAUUGAACCUGGAGACUCACAGCUGGUGCUGUGAGGCAGCAGUGCUAACCACUGAGCCACCAUGUUGCCCUUUACCUUGAGCAUUUCUAAGUACACAGCAAAAACCACCUUAAUGAUCAGUUCAAAUACUUUCUACAUGAUAGAUGUCAAGCUAACUCACCUAUAAGUUUACUUUUUUUUCUCCCCUUCUUGAAUAAAAAAUAUUGGCUAUUUUAUAAUCUGAUGGAGCCUUUGCAAAUCUAGCAAAUUUUGGACAAUUAUUAUCAAUGCAUUUACCACCUCUUUCAAGACCCUAGGAUUAAGUUCAUCUGGACUGGGGACUGGUCAGUAACACUUACCUAGAGAUUUUAAUUUCAACUCUUAAGUUGUAAAGAACUCAAGUUGAAGUAUUUUAACUCCUUGGUAGCAUUUGGCUGAUAUUUAUUAUAAUCCAUUCCAGUUUACGUAAGGGAAAUUUGUAUCUGUAAUCAAAUUGCAAUUUAUUUUCAUGUUUGUUUCCAUGCUACUAUGAACUCAAGAACUAAUAAAACUGUGCAGGUUUGCACAGUGACAGAGCUUUUACUUUGUAGUAAAUUUUACUGUGAGAGCAGAAUUAUCAAUUCCUCCCAAUAACAAAAAUGUGCUGCUGUUCAAUAAAUAUAUUUUUAUGCUUCAUUUCACCAUGUACCACUGGAGUAAUCUAGGAUUUAUAAAUACCUCUUUUUUUUGGUCUAAAACGGAAAGAUACUGCUUUAACCAGAGAAACUAAUUUAGAGAAUCCUUGGAGUUUAAAAACAAAGUUACUCGAGCACAUUGUGGGUUCUGCCCAGACACGGUCUUUUCAUUGGCUUAUCAAUUAUCACCACUUAAUGUGUUCAUCAGUACUCAUCAUAGUAACAAUUUCUUGUUUGGCUUCUGGACAGGUGGCUGUCGCUGUGUGUGUAGACAAUACAGCAGUAACAAUCAGCCUACAAAGAGAAACGAUCCUCUUUUCCUCUCCCUUUUGCACAGAGAGAUCUGCUUGAAAAUCUUAAGCCCUGGCCUAUUUGUUCCUGCCAACAGUUCAUGCCACAGGCUGUCACUCACAUUCACUUUGAGUCAUCAGUCCCAGAAGAUUUAUAACGAGAAAGAUGUAUUUUCCAGCAAACAAAGGGGAUCAACAUGAUAUUGAGCCAAGUCACAGGACCACAGGCCACCAACUCCACACUGCAGCACUCAACUAGAGUACAUGACCUAGCCUUUUGGACCUACUGUGAUGUUUAAUAAGAUCAUGGCUGAUCUGAUUUUAACUUCAACUCUACAUUCCUAUAUACCCUAUAAUGCUUCAUCUCCUUAGUACUCAGUAAUCUAUCUAUUUCUGUCUUUAAAAUGUUUAA